rnacentral:snRNA from 1 species
AUACUUACCUGACGCGAGAGGCACCUUGAUCAACUAGGAGGUCCUCUCAGGAUGAGGCCCUUUCAUUGCACUUCGACUGCGUUGACUCCUGCGAUUACCCCUAAUGUGGGUAACUCGAGCGUAUAAUUUCUGGUAGUGGGGACCUGCGUUCGCGCUCGUCCCCU